AACGAACGCUGGCGGCAUGCCUAACACAUGCAAGUCGAACGAGACCUUCGGGUCUAGUGGCGCACGGGUGCGUAACGCGUGGGAACCUGCCCUUAGGUUCGGAAUAACUCCCCGAAAGGGGUGCUAAUACCGGAUAAUGUCUUCGGACCAAAGAUUUAUCGCCUUUGGAUGGGCCCGCGUUGGAUUAGCUAGUUGGUAGAGUAAAAGCCUACCAAGGCGACGAUCCAUAGCUGGUCUGAGAGGAUGAUCAGCCACACUGGGACUGAGACACGGCUCAGACUCCUACGGGAGGCAGCAGUGGGGAAUAUUGGACAAUGGGCGAAAGCCUGAUCCAGCAAUGCCGCGUGAGUGAUGAAGGCCUUAGGGUUGUAAAGCUCUUUUACCCGGGAUGAUAAUGACAGUACCGGGAGAAUAAGCUCCGGCUAACUCCGUG
rnacentral:rRNA from 1 species